UUGCUAUUCUCUUUGAAACCCUUAUUCUCUCGAACAUUCUCUCUGUUGUUGCUACUUUGUCGUUGGUCACCGCCACCGCGUCACUGCCAAGGACCAUGGCGUCUCGCACCUCCUCAAGUCCAUGGCCCUCGACCUCUAGGCUUCUGCACCAACUCGAUCGAGGUCGUGUUGCCCUCACUCGCCGCGGGGUCCCUUGCUGAGGACAAGAAGAGCAAUGCGCUGCUUAAAAGGGCGGAGCUCAAGAUCACGAUGAGCGAGCGACGCGUUGACUCAGUGCUGGCCGAUUUGACCGAGUCGGUGAAAGCUGAGUCUGCGAAACGCGAAGGCAUGGUGCAUGUUGGGGGAGUGCUACGAAGGAAACAAAAUGGAGGAAGAAGCAAGGAAGGCUUAUAAAGAGGCUUUGGAGUUGGAGUCAUAACCGAAUGUGGCUCAAGAAGCACUCAGUAGGAUGGGUUCGUCGUAACCGAGCAAUCUUGUUACCUCAGAGCAAUCUUGAUCCAAAAUUGAAUGUUUCAAGUACAAUCAAUAAGCCAGGGGAUGGUGGGAUUCUAAUGUGCGGCUGGGGCAAGGCAAAAUUGUAGAUUAUGCUGCACUGAAUCAGUUGGCUUUGUAACCUGGAGUCAGUUGCCCAAGAUGCCAUUUCUAUAAAGAUGGCUGCAAUAAUCUCUGUCCCUUGAUGGAAUCUUCAUUCUACUUCCUCUGCAUAAACCACAGUUCUUGUGCCAAUAAGGCAAUUUUUUUUACCACACAAGGAACCUCACUAUGCCUUGAAAUGUUGCCUAAAGUUAGCUUUUUUCUAAAUAAAUUCCAUAAAGAAGUUUGAGGUUCAAUAUACUGUUGUUUGUAGCCUUGGCAUAUCUAAAACACGAGCAAGUUGAUACAUUGAAAGACUAAAUUGUACAAAUGAUAACUUUCAUGGACCAAAAAUAAACAACAUUUCACGGAUUAAAUUGUAUAUUAACUAUCUCUCUAUUUAUAUUCUAUCAUAAUUCACCAAUUUAAUGAACAAAAAUCCUUGUAGAAAUUAUUUUGGGAUCUUGGUUGAAAUUAUUUUCUAUCAGUUAUCAGUUAUCACUAAUCAUUGUCAUGCAAUUCUUUAUGGUUGGCAUUACUGUUUAGUGUUCAUAUAUUCUCACAGAUUAGUAGUUCUAGUGCAGAUAUCUUGAUGCUUUUUUAGCAUAUGCUGGUGUGAAUAUGUGCUUAGUAGCAGCUGCUGCUGCACUUUGUGCUUUCAUUGCUCCAGCAACUGUAGGCUCUGGCAUUCCAGAGGUAAAAGCAUAUCUCAAUGGCGUCGAUGCUCAAAAUAUAUUGGCUCCAAGCACCCUUUUUGUAAAGGUGAAUAAUACUACAAUGCUAGGAGCAAGUCUACCCUUUUGGCAUAAACACGGAUAAAAACUGAAUAACUCCUUGAACAAAUGAAAAUGACCCAAAGUACCAGUAUUCUAUUUCAGAUAAAAGAAUUUUAGUGAAGAGUGAAUAUUAUCAAUGCACUACAGGGGAUAUUACCAAGGAAAAGUUAAAACAAUUUCUUAAUUAUUCAAGAUAGGUGAUUGUAUAUACAUACUAUUUAUUGUGACAUGUUUGGUGUUUCUUAUACUUCUUUCUCUACCUUUUUUUUAAUCUUAGGUGUUUUUGCAAAAUAAUAUGGAAAGGAUAGGCCUACCAAAAUGCGAGAUAAAACCUAUUAUUCCAGUGCUUACACUUAAACUUUGAGGUGAAUUUGUUUAUUGACACAGUAUCGGAUUCAAUGGCUAGACAUUAAACAAUUUGAUCCUCAAUCUAUUCUGAAAAUGAAUAAAAAAUAGCUUAAACUAUGAAAAUUUUCCUAUUAAAUUCAAAGGAUUAUUCUUAUAUUGACCAUCUAUUUUCUUUGAUCCAGUUGACUAGCAAUGGAUAAGAAAUUUCACAUAACUAGAUACGUUGAAAAUGUUAUUAGGAUUUCAUUAGAGAAUACAACCACAACAAGAAAAUAUUUUUUGCCACUAGGUGUAGCUUGUUACACCCCCUUAGCUUGUGUUGAUUCAUUCCUAAUACAUCGUGCUUUUCCCCUUUUAAGUGGUAAGAACAAAAUAAUAAUUUUUACUUCUUGGUGAAUGCUCAGUGUCUUUAUGAAACUUAUAUAUGGUUUUAACUGUGACAAAUAUUUGGUUUUAUCCUUGGAGUUUCUACUGGAUUUGUGGUGGGCAAAGAGGGGCCUAUUGUACAUACAGGUGCAUGCAUAACUUCUUUAUUGGGGCAGGGUGGAUCUCCCAAGUAUCACUUGACUUGCACUUGGCUUAGAUGUUUCAAAAAUGACCGAGACUGGCGGGGCAUGAUUACUUGUGGGUUACUGCCGGUGUUGCUGUCGCUUUUCGUGCACCAGUAGGUGGUGUCCUCUUUGCCCUUGAAGAGGCAGCUUCAUGGUAUCUAUUUUUGCUCAAAUUACUCUUUUUCUCCCAACUUCAUGGUAUCUUUAGAUUUCAAACUUGUAAUUCUGAUAAGAAAAAUCCCUACAAUCUUUAUUCUAAUAUGCAGUAUAAAAUGUUAAUGGGAAAGCAGUAAAAUGA